rnacentral:miRNA from 13 species
AAUCCUUGGGAACCUAGGUGUGAGU